AUGUUCUUACGUCGUUGUGAAACUGACCGACGUUGAGGGUGAACUGUUUCAGGUGGAGUUUUCUCAACAAGUUUCUUCUUUGGAGCAUUUGGGCAAUUUCUGAUAAUGUGCCCAAUUUCUCCACAUUUGAAACAAGUUCUCCUUUCAACAGACUUAGGAGAACUUGAUCGACUACCAGAUGUUGAGCUUGUAGAACCUGAGGUACUUGCUCUUUCAUCACACCCGUUUGUGUGUUGGGUGUAAUUGUUAUCACUGUUUCGUUUCAAAAUCUUGACUUGUUGUACAAAAUCAGUGUUUGAUUUGUUUUCAAAAGUCUCAAUUUUAUCUGUACCUUUUGAUGCUACAAACUUAACAUCUUUUCCUUUCUUCAUGUAACGAGCUCCUUUUGAUUCAACUUUAGCCUUUGGCUUUGGAGCUCGUUGUGGUUGUUUACCCUUAGAAGCAGUCGGUUGUUGAGUGGUUGGAGAUUUUUGAUUGCCAAACUGUUUCCUAAUCUCAGCCUUAGGAAUUGGAUCACAUUGUGUUACCACAAUUCCCGGCAGUGUUUUUCCCAAAAAUUUGUUUGUAUUGUCUUCAAAGACUUUGGGGUUCUUUCAACAAAAUUUGGUUUGGGCGAGUUUGUGCAGUCUUUAAUGAUGUGCCCAAACUUCCCACAUUUGAAACAAGUUCUCCUUUCAACAAACUUAGGAGAAUCUGAU
rnacentral:lncRNA from 1 species